AUUGAACGCUGGCGGCAGGCCUAACACAUGCAAGUCGAACGGUAACAGGUCUUCGGAUGCUGACGAGUGGCGAACGGGUGAGUAAUACAUCGGAACGUGCCUAGUAGUGGGGGAUAACUACUCGAAAGAGUGGCUAAUACCGCAUGAGAUCUACGGAUGAAAGCAGGGGAUCGCAAGACCUUGUGCUACUAGAGCGGCCGAUGGCAGAUUAGGUAGUUGGUGGGAUAAAAGCUUACCAAGCCGACGAUCUGUAGCUGGUCUGAGAGGACGAUCAGCCACACUGGGACUGAGACACGGCCCAGACUCCUACGGGAGGCAGCAGUGGGGAAUUUUGGACAAUGGGCGCAAGCCUGAUCCAGCAAUGCCGCGUGCAGGAUGAAGGCCUUCGGGUUGUAAACUGCUUUUGUACGGAACGAAAAGCCCUGGGUUAAUACCCUGGGGUCAUGACGGUACCGUAAGAAUAAGCACCGGCUAACUACGUGCCAGCCGCCGCUGUAAAAC
rnacentral:rRNA from 1 species